rnacentral:rRNA from 1 species
GACGAACGCUGGCGGCGUGCUUAACACAUGCAAGUCGAACGAAGUGGAGAACGGGUGAGUCAUACGAGAGUAACCUGCCCUCAUUUUUGGGAUAAGCCUUGGAAACGGGGUCUAAUACAGAAUAAAGGGGGAUGGGCGCGCGGCCUAUAAGCUUGUGGGUGGGGUGAUGGCCUACCAAGGCGGUGACGGGUAGCCGGCCUGAGAGGGUGAACGGCCACAUUGGGACUGAGAUACGGCCCAAACUCCUACGUGAGGCAGCAGUGGGGAAUAUUGCACAAUGGGGGAAACACUGAUGCAGAAACGCCGCGUGCGGGAGUACGGCCUUCGGGUUGUAAACCGCUUUCAGCCAUGACGCGGUAGUGGCAGAAGAAGCACCGGCUAACUACGUGCCAGCAGCCGAGGUAAUUC